GACGAACGCUUGCGGCAUGCCUAAGAAAUGCAAGUCGAACGGACAGUGGCUUCGGUUACUGUUAGUGGCGAACGGUCGCGUAACACGUAAGAAACCUGCCUUGAAGCGGGGGAUAACAGUCCGAAAGGAUUGCUAAUACCGCAUGUGGCCAACGAGAGGCAUCUCCCGUUGUCUAAAGAUUUAUCACUUCAAGAUGGUCUUGCGGCCUAUCAGCUAGUUGGUGAGGUAACGGCUUACCAAGGCGACGACGGGUAGCUGGUCUGAGAGGACGAUCAGCCGGAUUGGGACUGAGAUACGGCCCAGACUCCUACGGGGGGCAGCAAUUAGGAAUCUUGCACAAUGGGCGAAAGCCUGAUGCAGCGACGCCGCGUGAAGGAUGAAGGUUCUCGGAUCGUAAACUUCUUUUAAGUGGGAAGAAAUUUGACGGUACCACUUGAAUAAGCCCCGGCUAACUACGUGCCAGCAGCCGCG
rnacentral:rRNA from 1 species